rnacentral:ribozyme from 13 species
UCUUCUUCUUUCUCUUUUCUCGCUUCUUCUCUCUCUUAAUCGGUUUCCCAAUCAUUUCGUCGACAUCUGUAAAUCUCGAGAGCAGAACCGCCAAAAUUUCGUACUUUCCAGUCUGUGCAGCAAAAUGUAAGGGGAGACAAUGUCGAAUUUCUCUUUUCUCUUCCGUCUUUGUUGGCAUCCCUUGAGGAAGAAGAAGAAUUGA